rnacentral:lncRNA from 1 species
CCAUGUAAACUUAAUGUUCCAUGAACACAGUUUCAUUUUGCAUUUAAUUUCUUAAGGCUUUUUUUUACAGGAAAAAUUGGGUGUGAGAGAAGAAAAAAAUUGGGAAAAACUCACAAGGGAUACGUCAAAGCUUUACAGUUUGCAAAUAAUGUGAUUACAGAUUCUUAAUUCCAUUAUCAAGCCUUAGUCAGUGCUGUACACACUGCGCUCUGAGGAGGGAAGCAAAACCUGGGGCUAAGGGAGAGAAGUUUGUCCUCUCUGUACAGCUUUCUUUGUCCCUCCAAGUGCAAGGACACUUAAGCCCCUCUAUGCAAAACCCCUUCAAGCUCAAUGAACAGAAAAAAGAUGAAAUGUGAAGACAUUUUCUUAGUGAGUUGUGAAAGUCCUGCAGAGGUACCAGCACAACUGAGAAAGAGUACACUGGGAGAAAAUGAGCCACCACACGAUGUGGAGGACAAGGAAAGGCAGGAACGACUCACCAGUGACAGCUUUGGGAGACAUGUCAAUAAGAUUACA